rnacentral:pre_miRNA from 1 species
AGUGGGAUAGCUGGGUCAAAUGGUAGUUCUACCCCUAGUUUCUGAGGAACCUCCACACUGCUUUCCAGAGUGGUUGCACCGAUUUGCAGUCCCACCAGCAU